UUGAUCAAUCGAUAGAUAUCAGACAUAUACAAAUGAGUACAUAAUGACAUUUCAAAUGUUGCUAAGUGCCAUGAAGAAAAAUGAAGGAAAUUGGUUCUUGUUGAUUUAGAGUAGUCAGGGAUAACAUUUAAACAGAGACUUGAAGGGAGAGAAGCACAUGUAUAUCUGGGGAAGAAUAUUCUAGGCAAAGAGUUCUGGACAGGGUUCCUGAUUGGUACUGUGAGAAUCAACAGGGAGGUAAAGCUAGACCAGGGAGAGAGAGAGAGGAAACAGAGAGAGGGAGGUAGGACCCAUGGGGGCUUUGAAAGAAUAUUGUUUUUUACUUUGAAUAAAAUAGAAAGGAGUUGGAGAAUUUUCAGCCAAGGAGUUAAAUGAUCAGCUUGUGGUUUUCCAUGGCUGAAGGGAGCAGGAAACACCAUCAGGAGGCGUUUGCUAUUGUUCAGGGUGGAAAAUGUCAGUGAUUGCAGUGGAGGAGCUAAGGAGUGGCUAUUCUCAGCAUCACCUCAAAGGAAGGGACAUCAAUUGCUUGUUCCUAUACCCUAAUAUUCUGUCUGACACACCCACAGUGGUCACAGCUCCAGGCACUUCUUCAGGCUUCCACCUAUAUUGGCUCUUGUGUCUUUUGUAUGAUCCUUAGAGCUUGUCUGAUCCUGUCCAGUUCUAAAUGAACCCACAUAUUCAAACUGCCUGAAACAACAUACCUAAGGUCCAAGGACGAGAGAAAGCAUCUUUGAAUAGGCAAAGAUAGUAAAAAAGCUCCAAGAUUGAAGAAAUAAUCUGGAUAAAUUCUUUAUAAUAUCCAGUAGGUAACAGACUUAUUUAGAAGAUGAACAGGUUUUUGUCCCCAACACAUCAUUUUUCCCCCGACACUCUACACUUAAAACUAGUAUAGGGUGUUCCUCUUGUGGUGCAGCAGCAAUGAAUUUGUCUCUUUUCGGUGAGGAUGCAGGAUCGAUCCUUGGCCCCACUCAGUGGGUCUGGGAUCUGGCACUGCUGUGAGCUUCGGUGUAGGUCGAAGAUGUGGCUUGGAUCUCUCGUUGCUAUGGCUGUGGUGUAGGUGGCUGCUGUAGUUCUUAUUCGACCCUUAUCCUGGGAACUUCAAUAUGCUGUGGGUGCAGCCCUAAAAGGCAAACAACCAAACAAAAACUAGUAGACCUCCUGUUUUGGGGAUGAGUCUACUCAUAAGCAAUUAAGAAAGGUACUUGCCUACUUUCCAAGAUCUAGAUGCUUUUAUUAAUAAAUAACUGCCACAAAAUGUCUAUAACUCCAAUUCAUGGCAAACCCUGAAGGAAGCUAAAGUAGGGAGGCAAAGCUGUAUGGAUAUCUAGACAUAACAAAAAUGUUUACAGCAAAGUUUAUGAACUCAAGUUAGAGUGAGAUUCUGGGACUGCUUCUUGUCUUUCUCCAUCCCUGGGAACUGCCCCAAGUGGUGAAACAUUUAGAAAUUCGAUUCUCUUCACCUUUGAGAUGAAUAAGGAGGAAAUUUGGGAAAAAUGGGACUAUGCUCUUUGCUUGUGUCUACAGUAAGACAUAUAACCUUUCAUUCUAUGGGAAAAUACGAGUUUAACUGGAACAGAUGAAACACUAAUAUAUCAAGAAAGACCCCACAGAAUCUAGGAAUUAAAGAUGGCUUGGUCUUUUCAUAUGUCCAUAGUUUCAUUUCAUACCAUCUUCUUUGUUCAUUCUAUUCUAAUCUAAAAAUCACCCCCAGGACCAUUUUUCCGCUUUUGACCUUAACCUGAACAAGCUCAUUAUUAACUGUGGGGGAGUUUGUAAGAUUAAAUACCAUUUUUUUUUUUAAAUGCUUCUGGCCAUGUACUAGUUUCCUAAAUCAAAUUCUCUCUCUUUAAACAACAGUCCUUUGUACAUACUCAGCUCUUGUCUCCACUCUCAUUGCUUGCCCAAUUCUCCAUGCCAUUUUAACUGGAAUUUUUUGGGGGUGGGGUGGGUACGAGGCUAUGGCAUGCAGAAGCUCCCGGGUCAGGGAUUGAACCUGCGCCACAGUUGCAGCCUGUGUCACAGUUGCGGCAACUCAGAUUCUUAAUGUGUUGCUCUGCAACAAAACUUCCUUAAUUGGGAUUUUAAGACUGCUCUUGCUUUUACUCAAGGGCCCACAUAUUAGUGCAUCUAGAAUGUCCUUUCUUUUCCCCAGUCUCACAUAUUCCUCCAUCCCCCCUACAAUCCCUCCCUCAGACUCAGAGUCCAAACAGAUUUAAGAUGCCUAGUGCUUUAAGAAGCCAAUAAUUGAUGAUAAAUAUCUAAAGUGGUUAUAAUCCUUGGCACUUGGUGACAGCUAGAUGACCAUCAACCGUUAUUCUGAUGUGAGAAUCACCUGCAAUCCUUGAAUCUUAAGACUGAUCUCAUAAGGGUCAUGGAAAGAAACACCUUAAAGAAAGUUGGUGACCCAGAGAAAUGUUCAAUGAAGCUUAGCCAAAUUAGGAUAUACCAUGCUUUUAAACAUUUAAGUAUUUUAAAUUAUUUCUUUCAAGAGUAUAUGCUGACCAAAGAAGAACAUUUUUGGGUACGAUUCUGAGAUAUUGUUUUAUAUGAGAGAGAAAUUCAAUGUUUGUUAUGUAUAUUAAGCAGCAAUGAUUUGAGAUGUAGAAAGAAUUCAUGUCCUUAGGAAUCUUAAUACCAUAAAUUUCUUAGCAAUUAAAUAAGCUUUGGCUAGUAAAUGUCAAUCCUUUUUGAAUUUCCAUGCAUUAUUAUCUCAGCUCUCUAAUUUUACAUUUAGAAUAAGCCCAUCUCAAGAAAAUAAGGAUGAAGCAGAUAGAUUAUAACUUGAAGGAAUAGUUCCACAGUACUUUAAGAUUAUAUUAUUAAUUGUGCCAAAGUGGAUGAGAGAUAGGAGAAGUUAUAGAGAACCCAGGGCUUCUCUAAGACCUGGCUUCUCCUAUUUGCUGUUAUGAGAAAAAAUAAGUGGCAAGAGUUUCCAACUCUCAAACAUAGUAUAUACAAUACAUACUUUAACCUAGUUUACAGUUUACAUUUAUUAUGCCCACUGAAACCACAAAGCCAAUGUUUCAUUUUACAGUUUAAAGUCACACAUAGGGAAAUGCUUUACAAAAUAGGAUAUUGUUCCUUAAUGAAAAAUAGUACAGUAUAGAUCCCAAACGUUUCAGUUCAAGUGGUUUACCUGAAUAAUAGAGCUGUUGUGGAAUGCAGGCUACAAGACACAGUAAUGCUUUCAAUAGUCCAUUCACGUUUGAAAUUUCCCAAAGCUGAAGAGACAUUUUAAACAAGACCUGUCUUAGUUUUCCAAGACAUUUUUGGUUUUUCCAACAGCAUUAUAUUUACUGAAAAACUCCAUCACUUCUGGAAAAUUGAGGGUAAGAAGCAGCUUACAUUUUCCUGCUUGUAUAGAGCAUGUAGAUCUUCAGUAUUUUACACUACCUUGAAAACAUCUUUCAACAUUCAAAAAUCUCAGUUCUACCUAUUUAGGCUUAUUACCUGACUUGACUAACAGACUCUGAGAGAGAAAUCAAAUAUUCUUGCCACUGCCUAUAUCAAAUUGAACAUAUUUCUGCAAGCUGUUUAGUGAUCUGCAGACUAUUUACAAAGCAUAUGCAGGAUUUCCUCUGAUUAAUGCAUCGUAAUGCAUAAAAUGUUAGCAUUAUUUGUCAAGUCCUACAUUUAUGUCAUGCUGGAGUGUGUGAUGCAGAAAUACCAUCCAGAGACAAUAUAUAUUUUUUAACCCAAAGUCUAAUUUCAAAAAGUCACACACAGUACACAAUCCUAUCCUAGAUAUACUCAGUAUGGGAUAAAGUGUUUCUAAUAUGUUGAGAAUUGCUACAGAAAGAGAGGUAAGUAGCCAAGUGUUUACUGUGGACAUAAAAUAUUGCAAAGCUUAAACAGCAUCAGGCCAAACAUACACAAAAGUUCCUUUGUGUAUAAGAAACAAACAAGUUUGUUUGAAAAGAAUGCUGAUGGCUUAGUAGGUGAUGGAACAAGACUCAUCUAAAAAUCUGCUACGCUAACCUGAUGCUCAUUAAGUUUGAUGUCACCUUAAACAUCCUUGAUGUAUGUGUAGCUUAUGUCAUUAAACACUGCCGAUCCAAAUGACCAUGCGAUACCACUUUCCAAAUCUGGAGUAUCAGGUGGUGCCCCAGCCUUGACAAAAUGCUUAGAAUUCUUUCUUGAAAAUUGAAAAACCUUGUAGAAUAAAAGAGUAACUCAGAAAUACCACAUUUGACAGUUGGUCACUGAAGAUGUUAGCACCUUGAUAAAGAUUACAAUUGUUCACUAGAUGUUCCAAAGGAAGAUUUAAAAAAAAAAAAAAAAAGAAUGCCCUGUUUUAUUUAUAAAUCACAGUUUUCCUCACAGUGUUAGACUUGGGUCACUCUGAUGUGGCAGUGACUUCUAGGAUGAUGGGCCUUUAUUUUUUCAUUUGACCUAUGGCAGUGCACAAGGACCAGCUGGAGCUAUGAGAUGAGGACCACAGACAGCACACUUAUUCUUAGAGCUAAGAUAGUAAGAGGGUGCAAUGAACAGAGUUAAUGAAUAUAUGUUUCAGUCCCUUUCCCUUUUAAAACCGAGGUUUUCUAACAACACAUUCCUUUAUUUGUUCUACAAAAUUUGCCUUGAGAAUUAAGAUAUCAUGGCACCGGUAAGAUAUUUGCCAGAUUGAAUGCUUUUCUGAACACUACAUAUAUUCCCAUUUUCUGGCUCACAAAUGCAUGGGUUGGUGUUUCAAUAUAUUCUCAUACCUUAAUUGAAUAGGACACUCAGUUAUGCAGUGUUGACUGAUGUGUUCCAUAUGAUAUAACUUGAGAAGUCAUUUUUGUUCAUGCUACCAGGGAGCCAUUAGAAAGACUACACUUUUCAGUGGGCUAGUGAGCUAAGUUGAUCUACCUGUUUGACAAUCUAAACCUGCAAAUUGUUGGCAAAUGAAAAAAUAGUUGAGAAAACAUACAAUUUCUUUUGCUCUGAGUCUAAAUGAUAGAUCCCCCUGACCCUGCCCUCGGUUCUAUGAUAGCUUUGUGUGACCUCAAGUUUUUCAUUUAUUUUGUCGCUUUGAAACGUUGUUAUUUUUAUAGCCUCAAGUUUAACUAUAAAUAGAUUAGUAACAGUCACCAAUCAUGCCAAUGAGAUUUCACACUCUGCCAUAAACUAUUAACAAAAUCCAGCCAUUAUUAAAUCCAAUCUUAUUUCACAAACAGUGAACUCAAAGUUAUAGUACAGGUCCUGAGCUUUGAAUAAGGUUGCUGUUCUCACAUGAACUGUUGCGAUGACCUUGUUAAUAAGGAAGGGGUCAAAGGGAGAAAUAUCAGGACCAGAGAUUGAUCUGCUCAGUUGUGUAUCCAGAGAUGCUUUCCCUUUUCACUGGGACUAGACUGUAAAAUCAGUCAGGGGCAAGCUGGUAUGAUCAGAGGUGUUCUUGCUUCUCCCUUCAGGAGAUUAAUUUGUAGUAGUAAAAAGUCACACUGUAUCAACAGAGAUCCCAGACAUAUAGAAACUGUUAUGAUUACUAGCAUUUGAAUCAUUUAAAUCCAAUUUGUUCACUCUCAUCUAUCAAAUCUUAAAGAUACUAGAGAUUAACUCAUGUUAAUUUUAAGGAAGGUUUCUAAAGCAGCAAAAGACAGUAUUUGGUUUUAGUAUUGUUGAUAUCACUUAGAGGCUGUGAUAGGUCAACAGUUCCUUGCCCAAGUUUAUCAAUGAAAAUCAUGGACCUGGUGCUGAACUGUGUCUUAGCUUCUGUGGGAAGCUUCCAGGCUAUCUAUGUACCCUAAUGUAAAACUUAAGACCUUAGUUGCUUGAAUAAGUGCUCUUAUCUGUGACUUGGAAAAAUUAGUAUUCAUUGGAACCCAAAAGACCUAUUAACGUAACGACAAGUAAUGAAUACUACUAGUCAUGAAAGAUUAAGUUUAAAAUUUCCUUAGAAAGGAAAAUGAGAGUAUCAGAAUAAGAGUACACGAGAAACAUAUACACGUUUCACACAGAAAGCUUUCUGUAAAAAAAAAAAAAUACAAAAGCAACCAGUGCCGUAUAUUAUGUAAACUCACAAAGUGUACUUUAUACACAAACAUGAAGCAUAAAUUAAAAAGUAGGACAACAGCAAAACACUUUAAAUAUAGAAGAAUUUGCACAUAGUUUUGUUAAAUAAGAAUAAAUAAAUUUAUCACACAAAUUUUCACAUACCAGUUGCAAAAACAAUAAAUUACUUUUUUUUUUCAGUGCUGCAACUUUUUUGUUUGCUUGUGAUUAAUCCCUUCAUUCUCAAUGCACUAAAACUGUUUCCACAGGAAGGCAGAGGAAGUUGAAUUCGUUGAAUAAACUAAAACAAUGUCCUUGAACUUAAUAACAAGGGGGGGACUUCAAUUGACAUUUUCUAUUCUAAAAGAAAUACAUGCUAUUUUUUUCCAGCUCCCUUUGUAGCUAAUGAAACUUAACCUGGAGUAUUUAGUUUUGUGAAUUAGAUUAGAUUCUUUCUAACCUGAGCAUUUCAAACUUUUUUUUUUGAGGACAUAGUCCCUAGGAUCCUGAACCCUAGGUUCUUCUUUCAAGAUGUAACUAUGGAAAGUAAAAGGCAUAUCCAGCUUGAAACUGGACUAAAUUAUUUUGCAUUAUAGAGGAUUUUAUAGAGGAUUUUUCCUUUGCU
rnacentral:lncRNA from 1 species